GACGAACGCUGGCGGCGUGCUUAACACAUGCAAGUCGAACGGUAAGGCCCUUCGGGGUACACGAGUGGCGAACGGGUGAGUAACGCGUGGGUGAUCUGCCCUGCACUUCGGGAUAAGCCUGGGAAACUGGGUCUAAUACCGGAUAGGACCACUGCCUGCAUGGGUGGUGGUGGAAAGCUUUUGCGGUGUGGGAUGGGCCCGCGGCCUAUCAGCUUGUUGGUGGGGUGAUGGCCUACCAAGGCGACGACGGGUAGCCGGCCUGAGAGGGUGACCGGCCACACUGGGACUGAGAUACGGCCCAGACUCCUACGGGAGGCAGCAGUGGGGAAUAUUGCACAAUGGGCGCAAGCCUGAUGCAGCGACGCCGCGUGAGGGAUGACGGCCCUCGGGUUGUAAACCUCUUCCAGCACCGACGAAGCGCAAGUGACGGUAGGUGCAGAAGAAGGACCGGCCAACUACGUGCCAGCCGCCGCAGUAA
rnacentral:rRNA from 1 species